UUCCUACGGGAGGCAGCAGUGGGGAAUAUUGCACAAUGGGCGAAAGCCUGAUGCAGCGACGCCGCGUGGGGGAUGACGGUCUUCGGAUUGUAAACCCCUUUCAGUAGGGACGAAGCGCAAGUGACGGUACCUGCAGAAGAAGCACCGGCCAACUACGUGCCAGCAGCCGCGGUAAUACGUAGGGUGCGAGCGUUGUCCGGAAUUACUGGGCGUAAAGAGCUCGUAGGCGGUUUGUCGCGUCGUCCGUGAAAACUCGGAGCUUAACUCCGAGCUUGCGGGCGAUACGGGCAGACUUGAGUACUACAGGGGAGACUGGAAUUCCUGGUGUAGCGGUGAAAUGCGCAGAUAUCAGGAGGAACACCGGUGGCGAAGGCGGGUCUCUGGGUAGUAACUGACGCUGAGGAGCGAAAGCAUGGGUAGCGAACAGGAUUAGAUACCCUGGUAGUCCAUGCCGUAAACGGUGGGCGCUAGGUGUGGGGUCCUUCCACGGAUUCCGUGCCGUAGCUAACGCAUUAAGCGCCCCGCCUGGGGAGUACGGCCGCAAGGCUAAAACUCAAAGGAAUUGACGGGGGCCCGCACAAGCGGCGGAGCAUGCGGAUUAAUUCGAUGCAACGCGAAGAACCUUACCUAGGCUUGACAUAUACAGGACGACGGCAGAGAUGUCGUUUCCCUUGUGGCUUGUAUACAGGUGGUGCAUGGCUGUCGUCAGCUC
rnacentral:rRNA from 1 species